GAUGAACGCUGGCGGCGUGCUUAACACAUGCAAGUCGAACGAAGCACCUUGAUUUGAUUCUUCGGAUGAAGAUCUUGGUGACUGAGUGGCGGACGGGUGAGUAACGCGUGGGUAACCUGCCUCAUACAGGGGGAUAACAGUUAGAAAUGACUGCUAAUACCGCAUAAGACCACAGCACCGCAUGGUGCAGGGGUAAAAACUCCGGUGGUAUGAGAUGGACCCGCGUCUGAUUAGGUAGUUGGUGGGGUAACGGCCUACCAAGCCGACGAUCAGUAGCCGACCUGAGAGGGUGACCGGCCACAUUGGGACUGAGACACGGCCCAAACUCCUACGGGAGGCAGCAGUGGGGAAUAUUGCACAAUGGGGGAAACCCUGAUGCAGCGACGCCGCGUGAGCGAUGAAGUAUUUCGGUAUGUAAAGCUCUAUCAGCAGGGGAGAAAAUGACGGUACCUGACUAAGAAGCACCGGCUAAAUACG
rnacentral:rRNA from 1 species